CAGGAAACCUUUAUUUGUGGGGAUUUCUUUGAACAGUGCGGUGUUAUUGCAGUCUAUCUUAAAUUUCAAAGCGUCAAAGGAAUGGCCAGUUGAGGCGCGAAGGCGACGCAGCGCGAGGGAACCCGCUCUCCGAUGACUCACGCAUCAACUUCGCCAUUCGCAACCACUGCUUGUUUGUGCUCAAUCGCAACUCGCAACUCUACGAUAUAUUAAUAAUACGAAAACAUGCAUACUUCUGCAUUACACACAACAAAAGUUAUCCGGACACAAAGGAGAAAGUUCACAGCAAUUGAGCGACGUUAUCAAGGACGGCCUCCGACACACUUCAACAUAUACUGAGAU